rnacentral:rRNA from 1 species
AGUGAACGCUGGCGGUAGGCCUAGCACAUGCAAGUCGAACGGCAGCACAGUAAGAGCUUGCUCUUACGGGUGGCGAGUGGCGGACGGGUGAGGAAUACAUCGGAAUCUACUUUUUCGUGGGGGAUAACGUAGGGAAACUUACGCUAAUACCGCAUACGACCUACGGGUGAAAGCAGGGGAUCUUCGGACCUUGCGCGAUUGAAUGAGCCGAUGUCGGAUUAGCUAGUUGGCGGGGUAAAGGCCCACCAAGGCGACGAUCCGUAGCUGGUCUGAGAGGAUGAUCAGCCACACUGGAACUGAGACACGGUCCAGACUCCUACGGGAGGCAGCAGUGGGGAAUAUUGGACAAUGGGCGCAAGCCUGAUCCAGCCAUACCGCGUGGGUGAAGAAGGCCUUCGGGUUGUAAAGCCCUUUUGUUGGGAAAGAAAAGCAGCAGGUUAAUACCCCGCUGUUCUGACGGUACCCAAAGAAUAAGCACCAGCUAACUUCGUG